CUCUUGAAGUCUCUUUCCUCAUUUGUCUUCCACACUGAGGAGCCCAGCAGCUCAAUCUUUACUCUGAACCUUUAGAACCUCUUAAUGUUCUGACUCGGUUCUGAACACUUACUUUGGGUGUUGGUGAAACCCUUCCUUCAACGGAUCUCACUUUCCUUGCUUUUUUGCUUUCAUAUCUUCAAUACUACAUGGGGCAGCAGACGUUUUGCCCACGGAGAAACUAAGAUUUUCAUACAACACAGGACAGCACACCUUUCACCACAGAGAAGCUAAGGACAGUCAUCCCAAAAGCAUCCAGACCCACCCCCUGACUGGGAGACGAGGUGACGUGUGUCGGGGCUCCACUGACCGUCCUUAGCGUCCUUACCCUGCCACCUGCCGUGCUGAUGUUGGGCUUGUUGUGGGCUUUGUGUGUGUGUUCAGUGAUGUAUCUGUCUGGUGGUAUUGGCUGUAGAUGGAUGGUUAAAUAAUGUCACGAUCGGUCGUACUGCAGGC
ensembl:lncRNA